rnacentral:lncRNA from 1 species
AACCUCCAGUUGAGUAGUAGAGGGAUUCCCCUGUACCAACAAUCUAAUCUCCUGUUGUCCCUGAGCCACUCCUUGGACCACUUCCAUGAAUUGAUUCAUGCGAAUCCUCAUCUCAAUGAGCUCUUCUUGUAAACCUUCCAUUGAUCUCUGUUGAUUCCUUCGAGUACUGUAUCGGUGAAUGCCUGAGUCAGCUAUCCUAAUAAUGGAAUACCAAACAAGAUGAGAACAUUGCGGCGGUACCUAUUAUGCAAGACAUGCUAAUGAAUAUGCAGAUGCAAUGACAUGUUUAUCAAUUUCAAAGGGUAUUCUACCCCUUGAUUC